CAUGCAGUCGCACGCCCCGGCAGGGGAGUGGCAGACGGGUGAGUAACGCGUGGGAAUCUACCCUUUUCUACGGAACAACUGGAGGGAAACUUCAGCUAAUACCGUAUACGGCCGAGAGGCGAAAGAUUUAUCGGAGAAGGAUGAGCCCGCGUUGGAUUAGCUGGUUGGCGGGGUAAAGGCCUACCAAGGCGACGAUCCAUACCUGGUCUGAGAGGAUGAUCAGCCACACUGGGACUGAGACACGGUCCACACUCCUACGGGAGGCAGCAGUGGGGAAUAUUGGACAAUGGGCGCAAGCCUGAUCCAGCCAUGCCGCGUGAGUGAUGAGGCCCUGGGUUGUAAAGCUCUUUGCCGGUGAAGAUAAUGACGGAACCGGAGAAGAACCCCGGCUAACUUCGUGCCGCAGCCGCGGUAAUACGAAGGGGGUAGCGCUGUUCGGAUUUACUGGGUGUCAGCGCCGUAGGCGGACUUUAAGUCAGGGGUGAAAUCCCGGGGCUCACCCCGGAGUGCCUUUGAUCUGGUAUCUUGAUUCGAGAGAGGUGAGUGGAUUCCGAGUGUGAGGGAAAUCGUCAUUUCGAGGACACCUUGGCGAAGCGCUACUGGUCGUCUGACGUGAGUGCGACCGUGGGAGCAACAGGAUAGAUACCUGGAGACACCCGUAACUAGAGACUAUCGUCGUCAUAACUGUCGUGGACACUACGCAUAAGUCUCGCUGGGAGUACGGCGCAGAUAAAUCAAUGAUCGCGGG
rnacentral:rRNA from 1 species